GGCCAGGUAAGUCAAUAAUACAGCUAAUUAACCACGAUGUUGAAGUACUGGUUGAUGAGUCUCAAACGAAGUAUUAACAACGACAGGGAAGCAUUAUCAGGAUCAACGUUGGGAGACAGUGGUAUAGCAGUUUAUUAUCUAACAUUGAUGAUACAGUCUAUUGAAUGUCAAUCGUCAUUCAUAAUGUGUUUUUGUAUGCUGACGCGG
rnacentral:lncRNA from 1 species